GCCGCGGUGGUGGAACCGGUAGACACGCAAGACUUAAAAUCUUGUGGCUUAAUAAGCCGUGAGAGUUCGAGUCUCUCCCGCGGCA
rnacentral:tRNA from 1 species